rnacentral:rRNA from 1 species
GUAGUCCACGCCGUAAACGGUGGGUGCUAGGUGUGAGCGGUAUUCCACGCCGUUCGUGCCGCAGCUAACGCAUUAAGCACCCCGCCUGGGGAGUACGGCCGCAAGGCUAAAACUCAAAGGAAUUGACGGGGGCCCGCACAAGCAGCGGAGCAUGUGGCUUAAUUCGACGCAACGCGAAGAACCUUACCAAGGCUUGACAUGCAGGGAAAUCCUCCAGAGAUGGGGGGUCCGCAAGGGUCCUGCACAGGUGGUGCAUGGUUGUCGUCAGCUCGUGUCGUGAGAUGUUGGGUUAAGUCCCGCAACGAGCGCAACCCUCGUUCUAUGUUGCCAGCGCGUGAUGGCGGGGACUC